UACAGGGGGUGCAAACGUUGCUCGGAAUCAUUGGGCGUAAAGCGCACGUAGGCGGUUCGUUAUGUCGGAUGUGAAAGCCCUUGGCUUAACCGAGGAAGUGCAUCCGAAACUGGCGAGCUAGAGUACUAAAGAGGAUCGCGGAAUUCCCGGUGUAGAGGUGAAAUUCGUAGAUAUCGGGAGGAACACCGGUGGCGAAGGCGGCGAUCUGGGUAGAUACUGACGCUGAGGUGCGAAAGCGUGGAGAGCAAACAGG
rnacentral:rRNA from 1 species